CCUACGGGUGGCUGCAGUGGGGAAUAUUGGACAAUGGGCGAAAGCCUGAUCCAGCCAUGCCGCGUGUGUGAAGAAGGCCUUCGGGUUGUAAAGCACUUUCAGUGGGGAAGAAAGCCUUGGGGCUAAUACCCUCGAGGAAGGACAUCACCCACAGAAGAAGCACCGGCUAACUCCGUGCCAGCAGCCGCGGUAAUACGGAGGGUGCGAGCGUUAAUCGGAAUUACUGGGCGUAAAGCGCGCGUAGGUGGUCUGAUAAGCCGGUUGUGAAAGCCCCGGGCUCAACCUGGGAACGGCAUCCGGAACUGUCAGGCUAGAGGGCAGGAGAGGAAGGUAGAAUUCCCGGUGUAGCGGUGAAAUGCGUAGAGAUCGGGAGGAAUACCAGUGGCGAAGGCGGCCUUCUGGACUGACACUGACGCUGAGGUGCGAAAGCGUGGGUAGCAAACAGGAUUAGAUACCCCGGUAGUC
rnacentral:rRNA from 1 species